rnacentral:rRNA from 1 species
ACCCGCACAAGCGGUGGAUGAUGUGGAUUAAUUCGAUGCAACGCGAAAACCUUACUACCCUUGACAUGUCCGGAAUCCUGCAGAGAUGCGGGAGUGCCCGAAAGGGAAUCGGAACACAGGUGCUGCAUGGCUGUCGUCAGCUCGUGUCGUGAGAUGUUGGGUUAAGUCCCGCAACGAGCGCAACCCUUAUCAUUAGUUGCUACGCAAGGGCACUCUAAUGAGACUGCCGGUGACAAACCGGAGGAAGGUGGGGAUGACGUCAAGUCCUCAUGGCCCUUAUGGGUAGGGCUUCACACGUCAUACAAUGGUCGGUACAGAGGGUUGCCAAGCCGCGAGGUGGAGCCAAUCCCAGAAAGCCGAUCGUAGUCCGGAUUGUUCUCUGCAACUCGAGAGCAUGAAGUCGGAAUCGCUAGUAAUCGCGGAUCAGCAUGUCGCGGUGAAUACGUUCCCGGGUCUU